GGGGUUGUAGCUCAGUGGUAGAGCGCUUGCCUCACAUGCGAGAGGCCCUGGGUUGGAUCCUCAGCACCACA
rnacentral:tRNA from 1 species